rnacentral:sRNA from 1 species
AGCUGAUGCAUAUGGCGGCUUUCCUCCCAGUUCCGCCGCAGCAGCUGUUCCCCUCUGGAGGUUAUUGACCUUCACACUUUCAUGGGCCGCGGUUUCCGCUGGCCCAUUUUU